rnacentral:lncRNA from 1 species
UCUUGCGCGUGCCGGACUGGCCAGCAGUAACGACGCUGCAACAGGAUCCUUCUGCACACGUUUAUUGGGAGAGCUUGAUUGCAGAGGCGAAGAGACCCCGAGCCCAGAACUGGUGCUGCUUUUAUAGGCCUAGGAGAGGCGUGUCUCACACCCGGAUUGGUUAUGCACUACGCCUCAUUUGCAUGUUCCUCAUCUGAUUGGCUACUCUCUCUCUCUCUGUACCUCACAGAGCCUCAUUAUCAUACCUCAUUUGCAUGUCUCACAUCUGAUUGGUUAUACUCUCAAAGCCUCAUUAUCAUGCCCGGGCCAGGCAGUGUCUUUGCAAAAAACUUUACUGCAUAUGUACACAUUGGUUGUUUGUCCAAACUUAUGCGUGGUGGCCAGCAGUAGUCAGUGCCACUCUGCAACUGCACAUGUGGCUUCCCACAG